GACGUAAGUUGCAAGCGUUAUCCGGAAUUACUGGGCAUAAAGGGCAUCUAGGCGGUUAUAUAAGUCAGAAUUGAAAUUCAGGGCUCAACCCUGUCCUUGGUUUGAAACUGUGUAACUAGAGUGCAGGAGAGGAGGGCGGAACUACAAGUGUGGAGGUGAAAUUCGUAGAUAUUUGUAGGAAUGCCAAUGACGAAGGUAGCUCUCUGGACUGCAACUGACGCUGAAGUGCGAAAGCUAGGGUAGCAAACGGG
rnacentral:rRNA from 1 species